GAUAAGCAUCAGCGCACGAGCGCGGCGAAAUCGAAUAACAUACUGCUGCUUCGUUUCAAGGCAGCCAUGCCCGAACGGAUCCGUGACAGAAGUAACCCUCCCCUUCUUCAUCUGAUAUAGAACUUAUACAGGAACAAUCUACGCUCAAACUCAAAGAUAGAAAAAGAAGAUAGCGGGCCUCUGCGAACGAUAAGCACCAUGCACAUUACCCGGGCCGCGAGUAUCAAGAAGACAAUGGCGCCCUCUUUUGAAGAAACAAGCCGCAGCGCCUUUCACGCGAGCACAAAGCUAAGUCAAACAAAGCACGGUUUCACCUGCUGUCUUAUAUUCAUUUCCUUAGCAGACGAAUAAAGACACACACUCGUCUGCUUGUUCUAUUCAGGAACGCAACUCGGCUGACCAGGUCAAUCCUCGGAAGAUGAUGACGAUGACACUGGCGAUAAUUAGGGGCGAACAAAGGCGCAGCGAGAACACGGAAAAGAAGAUGAAGUGCGCGCAUGCAUUAAAGGAACAGUGAUGUAUGGAAUAAACGCAACGAAGACGCCUGU